ACCGCGCCUGUCCGCUAGCCACUGUGGUCCGCGGCUGUGUCCCCGCUCUAUCGCUGUUAACCCUGUAGGGGCAUCCGAUCCAGCCCUUCUAAAGAGAGCGCCCCUUGAGGGGCGGGCUGCUCUGCGCCUAGCGGAGGGGAAGCAAAAACCCGGAGGGAUAUCAGAAGCGAGUGUUGGGGAUAGGGCGCAUAAGAUGGAGCGAGCCAGGCCUUAUGGUUGGGAAGAGUCGUCCUUAUCAUCCCCAAGGACUUGUCUGCUAAAAAGGUUCCUGGAGGCCUUCCGUAACGAUGGGAUCUCUGGCCUCUAACAGCCAGAGUCCGGCGGGCCCUCAAGAUGUUAGCAGUCCCUGACCAGCUGAAGAUAGGAAGCCGAUACGGCGAAUUGGGAACAAACACACUUACCUCCUGGCCCUCAAAAGAUCCGCUAGGUCGCCGGCUCCAAGAUCCGAGAGGCCUCAGAUUCCAAAUCCGCAGGCACAGUUUUCUGAGACUUCAGACGGUCGGAAAGAUUCUGGGAAUCACGGGCAGAUCCUGGAUAUCUCAGACGCGCAGGCCUGCCUGGGGGCAGGAUGACUCUCCAAGCCCAGCUUGGCUGCUUGCCUCCUUCUGUGAGUAAGUGCUUUUCUCUUUUUUCACCUGGGACCCUCUAGAGGGUGGAGGAGAAGAGGAGCCAAUCGGAUGGAAGGCAUGACUGCAUUUGGUGCCCCUGGGUGAGGGUGGGGGAAGAGGGGGAGGAAAGCCAAGGGGUGAGGGGCUUCCUGUUGCAGCCUUCAGCUGGACUCUGAGGGUUGGGGGUCACUAGAGGAGGAGGUGGCUUCCUGCGCCAUUGUUCAGGACUUCAUUGUUUCUCAGGAGUACUUAUUGUGUGUGGGUUUUCAAUAACCAACUUGGAAAGCUGUAUUUGUUCCAUUCAGCAAACAAUGAGCACCUACUGUGUGCAGAGGUGGCAGCACAGCCUAUUACUGGGGAAAGGGGCCAGGAGUACCAUUUCACCAGGGUCUCUGAUUUAGGUUUUUGACAUCAUCUCCAUAUUUGGGUUUUACAUUAUGUCAGGUCCUUCUUGCAUAAUCCUAAAGCUUGUUUCUUAUUGAUAGGCCACUGUGGAACACUAUAAAUUAUUAUAUUUUAAUAAAUUCUAUAAUUAUCUUGUGAGCAGCACAAUUAUAAUUUUUUGUAUUAGAAGCAUACAUUUGAAGAAAAGGAGUUUCUUUUGUGGCACAGUGGGUUAAGUAUCUGACUGCAGCAGCUCAGUCCCUGCGGAGGUGCAAGCUUAAUUCCUGGCCCCAGUGCAGUAGUUUAAAGGAUCCAGCAUUGCCACAGCUACGUCAUAGGUUGCAGGUGCGGCUCAGAUUCACUCUCUCGCCUGAGGAAUUUCCAUAUGCCAUGGGUGUAGCCAUUAAAAAAAAAAAAAAGAAUGGAGUUCCCAUUGUGGCUCAGUGGUAAUGAACCCAACUAGUAUCCAUGAGAAUGUGGGUUCGAUCCUUGGUCUUGCUCAGUGGGUUAAGGAUCUGGUGUUGCCGUGAGCUGUGGUGUAGGUCACAGACUUGGCCCAGAUCUGGCAUUGCUGUGGCUGUGGUGUAGGCCAGCAGCUGUAGUUCUGAUUAGACCCCUAGAACUUCCAUAUGCUACGUGUGUGGCCCUAAAAAGGAAAAGAAAAAAAGCAGCAGCAGCAGCAGCAUACAUUUGUUAGACAUUGAAAAAUAUGCCUCAAGGAGUUCCUGUCGUGGCUCAGCAGAAACAAACCUGACUAGCAUCUAUGAGGACGAAAGUUCAAUCCCUGGCCACGCUCAGCAGGUUAUGGAUCCGGCAUUUCCAUGAGCUAUGGUGUAGUUUGCAGACACACACGGCUUGGAUCUGGCAUUGCUGUGGCUGUGAUGUAGGCCAGCGGCUACAGCUCCGAUUCAACUCCUAUCCUGGGAAACUCCAUAUGCUGCGGGUGCAGCCCUACAAAAGGGCAAAAAGAAAAAAGAAAAAAGAAAAAAAGAAAAAUGUGCCUCAAUAUUUGUGAUUUUGUUUUGUUAUCUCAUUUUAAAAUAUACCAGGAACAUUAAAAAAAAAAUCAGCCGAUCGUGGCUUAGUGGUAACGAAUCCUACUAGCAUCCAUGAGGACUCAGGUUCUAUCCCUGGCCUCGCUCAGUGGGUUAAGGAUCUGGUGUUGCCAUGAGCUGUGGUGUAAGUGGCAGAUGCGGCCCAGAUCCUGCCUUGCUGUGGCUGUGGCGUAGCCUGGCAGCUAUAGCUUCAACCCCUAGCCUGGGAACCUCCAUAUGCCAUGGGUGUGGCCCUAAAAAUAAAAAAAGCAAAAAAAAAAA
rnacentral:lncRNA from 1 species